UACGAAGGGGGCUAGCGUUGCUCGGAAUGACUGGGCGUAAAGGGCGCGUAGGCGGUUCGGACAGUCAGAUGUGAAAUUCCUGGGCUCAACCUGGGGGCUGCAUUUGAUACGUACGGACUAGAGUGGGGAAGAGGGUCGUGGAAUUCCCAGUGUAGAGGUGUAAUUCGUAGAUAUUGGGAAGAACACCGGUGGCGAAGGCGGCGACCUGGUCCUUGACUGACGCUGAGGCGCGAAAGCGUGGGGAGCAAACAGG
rnacentral:misc_RNA from 1 species